rnacentral:rRNA from 1 species
GAUGAACGCUGGCGGCGUGCCUAAUACAUGCAAGUCGAGCGAACAGACGAGGAGCUUGCUCCUCUGACGUUAGCGGCGGACGGGUGAGUAACACGUGGAUAACCUACCUAUAAGACUGGGAUAACUUCGGGAAACCGGAGCUAAUACCGGAUAAUAUAUUGAACCGCAUGGUUCAAUAGUGAAAGACGGUUUUGCUGUCACUUAUAGAUGGAUCCGCGCCGCAUUAGCUAGUUGGUAAGGUAACGGCUUACCAAGGCAAUGAUGCGUAGCCGACCUGAGAGGGUGAUCGGCCACACUGGAACUGAGACACGGUCCAGACUCCUACGGGAGGCAGCAGUAGGGAAUCUUCCGCAAUGGGCGAAAGCCUGACGGAGCAACGCCGCGUGAGUGAUGAAGGUCUUCGGAUCGUAAAACUCUGUUAUUAGGGAAGAACAAAUGUGUAAGUAACUAUGCACGUCUUGACGGUACCUAAGCAGAAAGCCACGGCUAACUACGU